rnacentral:miRNA from 1 species
UAUAUUGGACUUGGAGUCAGAAGAUGUGGGUUUGAAUAGCGAGGGUAUGUCUUGUUAGCUGGUUAUCUUACAUAAGACAUAUCCUGUCUCUGAUCUGAA